rnacentral:rRNA from 1 species
UACGGGGGGAGCAAGCGUUGUUCGGAUUUACUGGGCGUAAAGGGCGCGUAGGCGGUCAGCACAAGUCAGUUGUGAAAUCUCCGGGUUUAACUCGGAAAGGUCAACUGAUACUGUGCGACUAGAGUGCAGAAGGGGCAACUGGAAUUCUCGGUGUAGCGGUGAAAUGCGUAGAUAUCGAGAGGAACACCUGCGGCGAAGGCGGGUUGCUGGGCUGACACUGACGCUGAUGCGCGAAAGCCAGGGGAGCGAACGGG